AUUGAACGCUGGCGGCAUGUCUUACACAUGCAAGUCGAACGGCAGCACGGGGGCAACCCUGGUGGCGAGUGGCGAACGGGUGAGUAAUACAUCGGAACGUGCCCAGUAGUGGGGGAUAGCCCGGCGAAAGCCGGAUUAAUACCGCAUGCGACCUACGGGUGAAAGCGGGGGAUCGCAAGACCUCGCGCUGUUGGAGCGGCCGAUGUCAGAUUAGGUUGUUGGUGGGGUAAAGGCCACCAAGCCGACGAUCUGUAGCUGGUCUGAGAGGACGACCAGCCACACUGGGACUGAGACACGGCCCAGACUCCUACGGGAGGCAGCAGUGGGGAAUUUUGGACAAUGGGGGCAACCCUGAUCCAGCCAUGCCGCGUGCGGGAAG
rnacentral:rRNA from 1 species